rnacentral:rRNA from 1 species
CCUACGGGUCGCAGCAGUGAGGAAUAUUGGUCAAUGGGCGGGAGCCUGAAGCAGCCAAGUCGCGUGAGGGAAGACGGUCCUAUGGAUUGUAAACCUCUUUAGGCGGGGAGCAAUGCCGGGCACGUGUGCCCGGAGGGAGAGUACCCGCAGAAUAAGCAUCGGCUAACUCCGUGCCAGCCGCCGCGGUAAUACGGAGGAUGCGAGCGUUAUCCGGAUUUAUUGGGUUUAAAGGGUGCGUAGGCGGAUUUUUAAGUCAGCGGUAAAAUGUCCGGGCUCAACCCGGGCCGGCCGUUGAAACUGGGGAUCUUGAGUGGGCGAGAAGUAUGCGGAAUGCGUGGUGUAGCGGUGAAAUGCAUAGAUAUCACGCAGAACUCCGAUUGCGAAGGCAGCAUACCGGCGCCCGACUGACGCUGAGGCACGAAAGCGUGGGGAUCGAACAGGAUUAGAUACCCCUGUAGUC